AUACGGAGGGUGCAAGCGUUAUUCGGAAUCACUGGGCGUAAAGGGUGCGUAGGCGGUUUGAUAAGUCUGAUGUGAAAUCCUAUGGCUCAACCAUAGAACUGCAUUGGAAACUGUCAGACUAGAAUACUGAAGGGGCAGAUGGAAUUAGUGGUGUAGGGGUAAAAUCCGUAGAUAUCACUAGGAAUACCGAAAGCGAAAGCGAUCUGCUGGGAAGUUAUUGACGCUGAGGCACGAAAGCGUGGGGAGCAAACGGGAUUAGAUACCCCAGUAGUCCC
rnacentral:rRNA from 1 species